AUGAACGCUAGCUACAGGCUUAACACAUGCAAGUCGAGGGGCAGCAUGGUCUUAGCUUGCUAAGGCCGAUGGCGACCGGCGCACGGGUGAGUAACACGUAUCCAACCUGCCGUCUACUCUUGGACAGCCUUCUGAAAGGAAGAUUAAUACAAGAUGGCAUCAUGAGUCCGCAUGUUCACAUGAUUAAAGGUAUUCCGGUAGACGAUGGGGAUGCGUUCCAUUAGAUAGUAGGCGGGGUAACGGCCCACCUAGUCUUCGAUGGAUAGGGGUUCUGAGAGGAAGGUCCCCCACAUUGGAACUGAGACACGGUCCAAACUCCUACGGGAGGCAGCAGUGAGGAAUAUUGGUCAAUGGGCGAGAGCCUGAACCAGCCAAGUAGCGUGAAGGAUGACUGCCCUAUGGGUUGUAAACUUCUUUUAUAAAGGAAUAAAGUCGGGUAUGGAUACCCGUUUGCAUGUACUUUAUGAAUAAGGAUCGGCUAACUCCGUGCCAGCAGCCGCGGUAAUACGGAGGAUCCGAGCGUUAUCCGGAUUUAUUGGGUUUAAAGGGAGCGUAGAUGGAUGUUUAAGUCAGUUGUGAAAGUUUGCGGCUCAACCGUAAAAUUGCAGUUGAUACUGGAUAUCUUGAGUGCAGUUGAGGCAGGCGGAAUUCGUGGUGUAGCGGUGAAAUGCUUAGAUAUCACGAAGAACUCCGAUUGCGAAGGCAGCCUGCUAAGCUGCAACUGACAUUGAGGCUCGAAAGUGUGGGUAUCAAACAGGAUUAGAUACCCUGGUAGUCCACACGGUAAACGAUGAAUACUCGCUGUUUGCGAUAUACUGCAAGCGGCCAAGCGAAAGCGUUAAGUAUUCCACCUGGGGAGUACGCCGGCAACGGUGAAACUCAAAGGAAUUGACGGGGGCCCGCACAAGCGGAGGAACAUGUGGUUUAAUUCGAUGAUACGCGAGGAACCUUACCCGGGCUUAAAUUGCAGAUGAAUUACGGUGAAAGCCGUAAGCCGCAAGGCAUCUGUGAAGGUGCUGCAUGGUUGUCGUCAGCUCGUGUCGUGAGAUGUUGGGUUAAGUCCCGCAACGAGCGCAACCCUUAUUGUUAGUUGCCAUCAUUUAGUUGGGCACUCUAGCGAGACUGCCGGUGACAAACCGGAGGAAGGUGGGGAUGACGUCAAAUCAGCACGGCCCUUACGUCCGGGGCUACACACGUGUUACAAUGGGGGGUACAGAGGGCCGCUACCACGCGAGUGGAUGCCAAUCCCCAAAACCUCUCUCAGUUCGGACUGGAGUCUGCAACCCGACUCCACGAAGCUGGAUUCGCUAGUAAUCGCGCAUCAGCCACGGCGCGGUGAAUACGUUCCCGGGCCUUGUACACACCGCCCGUCAAGCCAUGGGAGCCGGGGGUACCUGAAGUGCGUAACCGCGAGGAGCGCCCUAGGGUAAAACUGGUGACUGGGGCU
rnacentral:rRNA from 1 species